CUGAUAUUUAUCUUUGUCACCAGCCAGUCUACGAUGCAAAGAAAUUCGCUAAACUGAUGAGGAAAAGAGAUAGGCUCCAACAUUGGCUAGACUAUAACCAGAUGAAGUUGGAAAGGCAUCCCGAGAAGAGACCGACUAAAAAGACAGGGUUCCUCGGUUUAUGGGGUGAAAGAGUUGAUUCCAUUGAUUUCUAAAAACAACAGAUAAAAGAAUUUGACAAAAAGAUGGCAGUCGAGCGCCAGAAAGUUGUUGAGGACACGAAAUCCAUCCUGCCAGUUGCUUUCGUAUCGUUCAAAUCGCGUUGGGGGGCUGCUGUUUGUGUGCAGACACAACAAAUCAGAAAUCCAACCCUGUGGUUAACGAACUGGGCACCGGAACCCGCGAUGUUUAUUGGCGAAAUCUGGCCAUACCAUUCGUCUCGCUGACCAUUCGGAAACUAAUAAUAUCGUUAUCGGUAUUCGCAUUGGUGUUUUUCUACAUGAUACC